UACAGAGGGGGCAAGCGUUAUUCGGAAUUAUUGGGCGUAAAGGGCGCGUAGGCGGCUUUGCAAGUGACGGGUGAAAUCCCUCGGCUUAACCGAGGAACUGCCUGUCAGACUGCAUGGCUUGAGACCAGGAGAGGUGAGUGGAAUUCCCAGUGUAGCGGUGAAAUGCGUAGAUAUUGGGAGGAACACCAGUGGCGAAGGCGGCUCACUGGACUGGUCCUGACACUCAUGAGCGAAAGCGUGGGGAGCGAUCCGG
rnacentral:rRNA from 1 species